CUCCAGCUGUGGUCGAGCGCACACUCACCAGUUUGGGAAGGUCGAUUUCCGCCAAGAGGAGGUCAGGGGCUUCCAGCCAAAGGUUCAGGUCUCAAGGAGUCGGCGGUGUACAGGUUUCCCAGCUCCUGGAUCCGAGGCCGUUGCUGGGAGCGGAUGUUUUGCUGGGAGAUGGAGCCCAAGAAAGCCCGGUUCUUCAACAAGCGCCACUCUGCGGUUGCGGUUGGAUCUGUGUUGAUUCUGGUCUGCUCGUCUGGGCUUGCUGGAGUUCCUUGGAGGCCUGUGGGAAGGGAAACGACUUCCAGGCUUGGCGUCUGUGCUUGCAGACCCCUCAUUUGUUCCUUCAGUGUUUAUUGAGCGAUGUUUAUGGGUAUGAACCAUGCAGGGAAUAAGACACACUCUAUCCCCUUCCUCCUUGGAGCAACCCAAAGGACAACCCCAAUCCCACUCCCAUUUAUUCCAGAAACUAGUAAAGCUGGAGUUAACCAACUACAAUUCCCGUGGGCUCUGUUGCCUCUCUAGUGCAUUCUGGGAACUGUAAUCCCAUCUCUGGGGGGGGGGGCGGGAACUCCCCCAAAUACCCAGGGACACAGUAGCCCUGAUCAGUCCGCACCUGCAGCA